rnacentral:lncRNA from 1 species
UUGCAUUCAUAUCAUUCUUAUCCAAAGCAUAUAUAGAAACACAUAACCAAAGCUCUGGAUAUCAUAUCAAACAUACAGAAGGUGAAGUGGGACCAUAACAUAAUAUGGUACAUCCAUUUCUGAAUGACCACCAAACAUAAGUCUCCCACGUCUGGGAGCUCCAUCCACCCAUGUUUGAGUGAAGUCAUAAGGGCCGGUAGAGCAUCACAGGCUCUAUGCAUAACUCCCUUCACCAUUUCUGGCAAAGGUUCACAAUAUCCCACAAACACCAGAGUACAAAAGGAUAGUAUGAACAAUGAAUAGCACAUAUCGGAAGCACAUGCGGAAC